GACGAGCGCUGGCGGCGUGCCUAAUACAUGCAAGUUGAGCGCUGAAGGUUGGUACUUGUACCGACUGGAUGAGCAGCGAACGGGUGAGUAACGCGUGGGGAAUCUGCCUUUGAGCGGGGGACAACAUUUGGAAACGAAUGCUAAUACCGCAUAAAAACUUUAAACACAAGUUUUAAGUUUGAAAGAUGCAAUUGCAUCACUCAAAGAUGAUCCCGCGUUGUAUUAGCUAGUUGGUGAGGUAAAGGCUCACCAAGGCGAUGAUACAUAGCCGACCUGAGAGGGUGAUCAGCCACAUUGGGACUGAGACACGGCCCAAACUCCUACGGGAGGCAGCAGUAGGGAAUCUUCGGCAAUGGACGAAAGUCUGACCGAGCAACGCCGCGUGAGUGAAGAAGGUUUUCGGAUCGUAAAACUCUGUUGGUAGAGAAGAACGUUGGUGAGAGUGGAAAGCUCAUCAAGUGACGGUAACUACCCAGAAAGGGACGGCUAACUACGUG
rnacentral:rRNA from 1 species